UACGAAGGGGGCUAGCGUUGCUCGGAUUUACUGGGCGUAAAGGGCGCGUAGGCGGACAGUUAAGUUGGGGGUGAAAGCCCGGGGCUCAACCUCGGAAUUGCCUUCAAUACUGGCUGUCUUGAGUGUGAGAGAGGUGUGUGGAACUCCGAGUGUAGAGGUGAAAUUCGUAGAUAUUGGGAAGAACACCGGUGGCGAAGGCGGCGACCUGGUCCUUGACUGACGCUGAGGCGCGAAAGCGUGGGGAGCAAACAGG
rnacentral:rRNA from 1 species